GAAGUGAAUUUACUCUGUACACUUGCCAAGGGCCUGUCUGCCCAAGUUUUAGCACUUAGCUGCUGUGAGUUCUUGUGGCAAUGCCCAGUGAGUGCACCAACAUUGUCUGCUGCCACUGGACCUGCUGCCACCAUGUGUGCUCACUGAAAACCAGUUCUACAGCUAGAUCUGCCAUUGCCAUGUGCACACUAACAAUGGGCUCCAUAGCUCCCCAUAGAUCACAUCCCAGGCACUUCCAGCUGUAUCUCUGUACCUAGAUCAAGUCCUCACCCAGGGCCUUUCUAUCCAGGAUUCAGUGCUUAACCACUGCACAUUCUUGUGGCACCACUCAGUGCACUCACUGCAAUGUCUGCCCAGCUAGUCCUGCUGUUUCCCUGUCUGUGCACUAUGGUGGCCUGGAUCAUACCCUGGAGCACUUGUCGGUCUGAAUCUUUGCACUGAUUUCAUGCCAGGCUUUAGUGUAGAGUGAGCAGGGCAGGGGCAUUCACUCCUUCAGAUUAGAAUUGUGGCAAGGCAGCAACCACGAGUGCAAGGCUCUCUCCAUCUGAAUUGCUAGUGAGUGAGAACACAUAUAUGGCUCAUGAGUAUAGCCUAGGCUUCUUCAACCCCAUGUCUCAGCAGAUUUCCUUGCAGGCAAGGGGAUUUGUCUCCUCCAUGCAGGACCCCAGAGGUGCCCACAUUGUGAGCACAUUCCCUCUCCCCAGGGUAAGGGUCCACCUGUGUGGAUCUUCUCUUCCUUACAAAUCCCUUCCAGGAUUGCCAAUUCUAAAGUAAUACCUUUUUUCCUGUCCUACCUGGUUAUAUGUUGAUCUUUCUCACUGCUUUGGUUGUACAGGAGAUCUGCCAAUUUCAGGUUAGUUUUCUGUGAGAAUUAUUCCACACAGAGAAGUAUUUUUGAUGUGUUUGUAGAAGAAGGUGAGCUCCACGUUCUACUACUCCACCAUCUUGAUGCUCUUUCCAGAUCUCUUUGGGUUGCUAUUUAUUCACUUAGAAUACCUUUUUCCACCACUUAUCUUCGAACCUAUUUGUGACAGUAGGUAUAAAAUGAGUCUCUGGGCAGCAUAUAAUUGCAUAAAGUUUUUUAAAAAUCCAUAAUGCUGCAUCUGUCUUUCAAUUUGUAAGUUUAUUCAAAGUAAUUACUGAUAUACAAGACUUCUGUUUUCCUGUUUUCUGAAUGUCUCAUAUGAUUUUUGUUCCUCAAUCAGUCUUCUGAUAAUGCCUUUUCUAAUGUAACAUUUUUUUUUUUAGGGCUGCACCCAUAGCAUAUGGAAGUUCCCAGGUUAGGGGUCCAAUGGGAACUGUAGCCGCUGGCCUAUGCAAGAGCCACAGCAACACAGGAUCCAAGCCACAUCUAUGACCUACAUCACAGCUCGUGGUAAUGCCAGAACCUUAACCCACUGAGUGAGGCCAGGGAUCAAACCCGUGUCCUCAUGGAUGCUAGUUGGGUUUGAUAACCGCUGAGCCACGAUGGGAACUCCCUUUAUUUCUUUUUCAGUAUAACUUUAGUUAAUUCAUUAGUGGCAAUUUGGAAAUUAGUUAAGACUCAUAAAUUUAUAUCAGUCUACUUUGAAUUGAUACCAGUAGUUCAGUGACACACUAACUUUGCUCCUAUUCACCUCACAAAUUACAUCUUUAACCAUUAUGUGCCCACUGACAAAGUUUUAUAAUUACUAUUUUAUGUAUUUGUCUUUUUAAUCAAAUAAAGAGUUACAAAUCUAAAAUACAAUGACAGGAGUUCCCAUCGUGGUGCAGCGGAAACAAAUCCAACUAGGAACCAUGAGGUUGCAUGUUUGAUCCCUGGCCUUGCUCAGCUGAUUAAGGAUCCGGCGUUGCCGUGAGCUGUGGUGUAGGUCACAGAUGCAGCUCGGAUCUAGAGUUGCUGUGGCUGUGGCCUAGGCCGGUGGCUACAGCUCCGAUUAGACCCCUAGCCUGAGAAACUCCAUAUGACGUGGGUGUAGCCCUAAAAAGACAAAAUAAAUAAAUAAAUAAAUAAAAAUUUAAAAAAAUAAAAUACAAUGACAGCUUUUAUGUAUACAUUUAUGUAGUUAUCUUUAUCAGGGAUCUUUAUUUCUUUGUAUAGCUUUGAGUUACUAUCUCAUGUCCUUCUGUUUCAGCCUUAAGAACUCCUUUUAGCAUUUCUUAUAGUGGCAGUCUAGUAGGGUUGAGCUCUCUUGGCUUUUGUUUAUCUGGAACUGUAUUAAUUUUUCCUUCAUUUUUGAAGGACUAUUUUAAUAAUAUAGAAUCCUUGCUUGACAGGGGUGUUUUUACUCCCCCAGCAUUUUUCAUUUCAUCCCACUGCCUUCUAAACACCACAGUUUCUGAUAAGAAAUCAGCUGCUAAUCUUUUUGAGGAUCCUUUGUCUGUGACAAGUCUCUGCUCGCUUGCUUUCAAGACUUUUCUCUUUGUUUUUCAACAAUUUUAGUAUACUGUGUUUCAGUGUGGAUCUAAGUUUAUCUUGAAUUUAUUAACAUCAGUUCAUUAAACUUCUUGCAUGUGUAGUUUCAUGUCUUUUAUCAAAUUUGGGACAUCCUCUAUGGCUCACUCAUAUCACUGGCUGUUGACUAGGAGGUCACCUGAGGCAGCUGCCAGGAACACCUAUAUUGCUUCAGUGUGGCUUCAACUUCUCACAGUAUGGUGGCCGAGUUCCAAUAUGGAGCAUCCCAAGAGUAAGUAUUCCAAGACAACUAGGCAGAAGCUCCAGGAUUCUUAUGACCUAGCCUUAGAAGUCACAGAACAUUACUUCUGCCAUAUUCUAUUGGUGAAGCUAACCACUAAGAGCAUUCCAAAUUCAAGAGAUAAGGAACGCCCUAUCUCCCCACAAUGGGCCAGUAUCAAAUGAUUUGUGGCCCAUUUUUAACCCACUAUAAAUAUCCUGUUGAUACAAGAAAGUUUCCAGAGCAAGCAAAUGAGAUUAGAGCUUUCAAAGAUAGGUCUCCCAUUUCCUGCCUAGGACGGACAGGGAUUUGGGAAUGUCCUACACUUAAAGCAGUGAGAGGAAAGCCCCGCACUGAAGACAGAGGACAAAGAUAUAAGGGUGAAAAGUAAUAAAAUACCCUGCCUCCUCAGGAUAAGAGAAAAAGGUACUACCUCAAUGAUGUUCCUUAGGAUGUGAAGGGUGCAGAAAAGUAAUUUGAUUGGAUUCAAUAAUUAGUUAUUUGGGGGGAAACCUCCAGUAAAGAACUAAAUGGUACUUUUUUUUGUUUGUUUUAAUAUACCUGUGGCAUAUGGAAGUUCCUGAGCCAGGGGCUGAAUGGGAAUUGCAGCUGAAGGCUACACCAUAGCAACACCACAUCAGUGACCUAUGCUGCAGCUUGCAGCAAAGUUGGAUCCUUAACCCAACUAAGCAAGGCCAGGUAUUGAACCUACAUCCUCACAAAGACAAUAUCAACUCCUUAACCUGCUGAGCUGCUGAGCUACAAUGGGAAGUCCUAGAUGUACCUUUUUUUUGUUUUGUUUUGUUUGUUUUUAGGGCUGCAGCUUAUGGAGGUUCCCAGGCUAGGGGUUGAAUGGGACCUUUGGCUGUUGACCUGUGCCACAGCAGUGCAAGAUCUGAGCCACAUCUGUGACCUACACCACAACUCACAGCAACACUGGAUCCUUAACCCACUGAGUGAGGCCAGGGAUUGAACCAGCAUCCUCAUGGAUACUAGUUGGGUUCGUAACCUGCUGAGCCAAAACAGAAACUCCCAUACCUUUCUUAAUAAUGUAACUUAUACAACAAAAUUCCAUGGUAAAAUGUAGUUACAUAAUUAAGAAAUUUUAAAGGCAGUCCUUUUAAACAUAGAUUUAGGAUAUGGAUGCCUGCUACUACUUCUAUUUAACAUAUUAUUGGAAUUCCUAAACAGUGAUCUAAGACAAAAUAUGUGAGGACUGAAGAAAUUUAGAUUCAUCCACUUAGAAAAUCCAACCAAAUGAUCAUGUAAACUAUUAGACAACUCUGAGAAUUUAGCUGCUUUGCUAGAUUCAAGAUCCUUUUAUUAGAAACAAUAAAAUUUCUCCACACUUGUUUAAUAAUUAACACACAAGACCACUAUGGGAAAACUUUUAAACUCUUAAAGGGGAAGUUUCGAAUAAAUGUAGAUAUUCUAAGUUUUUGGAUCAGAUGACUUAGCAAAAUAAAAAUAUUAAUUUCUCCAAGUUGAUACAUAAAUUCAAUUAGAUUCUAAAUAAAAUUCCAGUGGGAUUUUUUUUGAGCUAUCUUAUAAUCUUAUAUUAAAAGCUAAAGUCUAAAAUGCAAUAAAUAGUUAAGUUACCUUUAAAAAAAUAUCAAGAAUUGACUUCCCUUACCAAACCUAAAGUACUACAAACCUAAAAUAAUGAAAAUAACAUUGUGAUGACAUAAGAUCAAACAGACUAUGUAGUGGAGAAUUGAAUGUUGCCCAAAAAGAGUCUGGCCUUUUCCCUUGGCUUCUGGGAGGCAAUGUAAACCUCUGAGAUGUCAUUCUUAAUGAGAAUGUCUUGUUUUCUUGGGGGCCAUGGGUCACACUGGAUAGUCAGUCUCACAAUGUGACUUAGGAUGGGGGCUAGCCACACCAGCUAAUAAUAUGAUUUACGGUAAGGGUUUGGAGCAUGUAUUAUCAGUCAGCCUCUGGGGCUGGAGACAGAGACUAGCCAUGUGCACAACCAGUCAUACCUGUGCUGGAGCCUCAACACAAACUCUGAACAUGAAGGCUUAAGUGAACUUCCAUGGUUGGCAAAACUCUGCAUGUAUUGUUAGAAGUGAUGCUGGGAAAGUUACACAGUCCUGACUAUAAAGGGAGAGUGACAACAGUUCUGCAUUUGGUACUUUUCUUUGAUUCUUCUCUAUACACUUAUUCCCUUGACUGAUUUUAAUCUGUUUUCCUUGUAAUAAGACAUAACUCUGAAUAUAAAAGGUUUGAGAAAAUUCUGUGAGUCCUUCUAGAAAAUUAUCAAAACUUAAGGUAGUUUUGAGAACCCCUCAGACUUACAAUUGGUGUCAGAAAUGGUGGCAGUUCUGUGUGGACCUUUCCCUCUAGUUGCUUACUUUCCCAAAAACCAGUGGAACUGAAGAGGGAAAUACACACAUACACAUACUCUUUACCAGUGAUGAAAUGAUAAAUUAUUAGAAAAUUAUAUUGGGAAACUAGCUUAUUACAUGAGAAAAAUAUAAGUGGGUUCCUAUUGUAAGUGAUACACAAAUAGGGAAUCGGGUGGGGUAAAAAACCUAGUUGUGAAAGAUACUACUAAUGAGAGAAAAAUCUUAUAGAAUAUUUUUGUGACCUAAGUUGGGGAGACUUUAACACAAGAUCCAAGAAAGCACAAAGUAUAAGUAAAAAGAAUUUUAAAGAUGGCUUACACUAUGCCAAAAUUAAUGUUUAUUAAGCACAGGACCCCAAAGCUACCAGAAAAAAAUGACAGGCUGAGAGAAGAUAUUUAUAACAUCUGGCACUAACAUGUAACUAUCACCUAGACUAUCACCUAGAAUAUGCAACUAAACUAUACAAAUCAAAAAGAAAAAAGUAGAUACCCCAAUAAAAAGUGAGAAAAAGAUAUGAGCUAAUUUUGAAGAAUAAGAAAACCAAAUAUUUAACAAGUCAAAGAAACCUUAUAGCAAGUAAAAUUUUAUACAUAGCUGAAAAUAAGAAAGCUGGAUAAUGCCAAGUGUUGGCAGUGAUGUGGAAAAGGGAGAACUCUUACACACUACUAGCAGGAAUAUUCAACCAUAGUGGAGAGUGGCCUGGCAGGUCUGGUCAAAUUAAAUAUAAAUUAGGUAUGAUACAGCAAUCCCAAUCCUGGGUAUAUACCCCAGAGAAAAAGUCACAUUUCUGUAAGAGAUAAGUAUAAAAAUUUAAUCACUGUUUUGUUGGAGGGGUGGAGUUUGUUUGUGAGAUCAGAGGCAAUCUGGUAUCCAUCACUCAGGGACUGGCCAAAUAAAAUCAGGUGGAAUUUUAUGGAGCAGUACAAACUAAAGAACUGGACAUGGUUUUUGAUGAGUGAAAAAAGUUUUAUAAAAGUCUAUUGUGUCAUAUAUUGCUCAUGUAAAUUAAAAAUAAAAGCAAUAAAAAAUAAAAGCAGCAGAAGACAUUUGUGGUUUUUUGGGGUUUUUUGUUUUGUUUUUUACAAAGAGGCACUUAAACUUAAGGACAUAGUGAGUUUGAAGGUAUCAGAGGUAGGGAUAAGAGGGAAUCACAUAAAAGUUACAUUAAAAAAUUAUAAUAAAAAUUACAUCUGUGUUUUGGGGUCUUUUUUGGCCAUGCCCUGGGCCAGAAGUUCCUGGGCCAGGGAUCAAAACCCACGUCACAACAGUGACAACACUGAGCUCUGAACCGCUAGGCCACCAUCAGGGAACUCCACAUCUGUGUAUUUUUUUAAUAUGCUAAAAACAGCAUGUCAAAGAAAGUAUUUUUAAAUGGAAAAGGUCCCUCUGACAAAUGUUUUUAAGAAAACAGAAGGCUUGGGGAGAGCAGAAGAAAGCACCUGACCCAGCUCUGGGUAAGGCAUGAUGACGUCUUCUCUGAAUAAAUAAAGACAAAUUAAAUAAAUCCCAUGUGAGCUGGGAAUACAGUAACAGAUAUUUUAAUUUUAGGUAAAGGAACCUCAUGUGUAGUAUCAUAGAAGUGGCAGAAUGAAUGAGGAUUAUGCAGAUGACAAGAAAAUCACAUGGGGUCCAGAGAGAUAAGUUUAGGUAAUCAGAGGCCAGAUGAGGAAGCAUCUGGCAAAUUAUGCAGAACAGAUCAGUCAUUAUCCAGUGGAUAAAGGGAAACAAUAAUAGAUUUAAGCUGGAAAGUGACUACUGUAGACAGAUUCUGGCACCAUGAAGUAGGAAUCCUGCUAUAACAAAU
rnacentral:lncRNA from 1 species